rnacentral:lncRNA from 1 species
UCAAUGAUAGAUUUUCAUUUUCAGAAAACAUUUGACAAUUUAUCAUUGGAAGUUGAAAAAAAAAUAAAAUAAUAGAAGAAAAAACACUCCCUAUCCAACUAGCUUUAUUCGAGUCAUGACUCUGCCUUUGAUAUCAUAUCUAUAGUUUCAAUAUUCAGUCGUUAUUGCCCCUUAGGGCACAUACCAACUGGCAAAGAUGAGGGCGCUUCAAGACUGACAGAUCAGAGGUCGUGAGUUCGAUUCCUGGAAGGCUCUUGGAAGGCAGAUAUUCUCCUGGAAGGCAGAAUCUCUACUGGAAGGCAAGGUGCAAAGAUGAAAAAUGACUUGCUUGGCAAUUUGGCAGAUUAGUUGGGGAGGGGGGCUCUUGAGCACUGAUCAAUUUGGGGCACAACCUGCAGUUUAACCUGUCUGCAACUUGAGGGGCCAAGGUGUAGACUCCAGGAUUUAGUUACUGUAAUGUGGAUACCUGGAUAUAAAAAAAAAAAAAAAUUCAGUCGUUAUUGUACCACAUGUUCUUCUACGUUUUUGGUAAAUUCCAUGUUUUUUUUUUUGGUAAAAUUUCUUUUUCAUAUAACUUUUUUGACAUUUUUAACUAAAACAUUAUUUCUUGAGGAACAAACAAAAAUAAGUUCAAUCAAAAUUUAUACUUUCACUUAAAUUACGAAUGCUCAUACAAUCUCG